UGUUACCUACGGGAGGCAGCAGUGGGGAAUAUUGCACAAUGGGGGAAACCCUGAUGCAGCGACGCCGCGUGAGUGAAGAAGUAAUUCGUUACGUAAAGCUCUAUCAGCAGGGAAGAAAAUGACGGUACCUGAGUAAGAAGCCCCGGCUAACUACGUGCCAGCAGCCGCGGUAAUACGUAGGGGGCAAGCGUUAUCCGGAUUUACUGGGUGUAAAGGGGGCGCAGACGGCGAUGCAAGCCAGGAGUGAAAGCCCGGGGCCCAACCCCGGGACUGCUCUUGGAACUGCGUGGCUGGAGUGCAGGAGG
rnacentral:rRNA from 1 species